rnacentral:lncRNA from 1 species
AAGAAUCUGAUCAUCAAGAAUUAUGCUAGACCAAAAGUUGUCUUCAAUUUGUGGUUGGUUCUACAAGGCAGAUUACCAACCAAAGAUUGAUUAGCAAGCUGGGGACUGAGUGUUGAUCAGCAAUGUAUAUUGUGCCAGAACCACAUAGAGACCAGAGAUCACCUUAUGCUAUCAUGUCCAUUUUCAUCUUAUCUAUGGGAGCAAGUAAUGCAGUGGCUCCAUGAGAGCCAUCCUCAGUCAUGUACUUAGGAUCAAAAACUCCAAUGGUUCAUAAGUAAAGCUAAAGGGAAAUCUUGUCAAGCCAAUAUCUU